GAGAACAGUAUUCAGUAGCUCACGAGAAGUCACCUGAAGUUCACGAUGAGAUUCCUGAUUGCUUUCGUCGCCCUGAUCGGCUAUGCCGCAGCCAGCGCCAUCCUGUCCCCCGUGGUCUACGGCGCCAACGCCGGCGAUGUGCAGGCCGCUGUCAUCAACGCUAACGUAGCCGCCCAAGACACAGCCCGGGCGAUUGGCGAAGGCCAAAUCCGCACCGCCGAACUCAUCAACCAGAACAACAUCGAAGCAGUCCGUCAAGUCACCGGAGCAAACCGCGACCUCCACGAGAACGCCUACUGGGGCAGCGUUGCCGCCUCCCAAAACUACGUUGCUGCCGCUCAGUCCCAAGCCGCCGCUAUCGACGGAGCCGCUGCUGGCGCCAGCGCUCAACUUACCGGUCGCGUCUUAGCCGCACCCUAUGCUGCUGCCCCCUACGGAAUUGCUGGCCCCCUUGGAAUUGCUGCACCUCUUGGAAUUGCUGCACCCCUUGGAAUUGCCGCCCCCUACAACACCUUAGGCGCGUACGGCCUUGGUCUCCGCCACUGGUAAUCAGCAUCGCCUAGCUUUAACCACUACCUUAUAGGAUUGGCUCAAUUAAACAUAUUGUGACAUAACUCUCUUUAUAUUUAAGUCAAUCGUAAGCCAUCACUGCCAAAGUGUAAAUAAAACGACGAAUCCAAAUA